GUAGGUAUAGUUUAACUCAAAACAUUAGAUUGUGAUUCUAAAAAUAAGGGUUAGAAUCCCCUUACCCACC
rnacentral:tRNA from 1 species